UCUACACCCUACCUUGGAGAGCUCAGGAGGAGGAGGAGAGCUAAUAGGCGAUGGAUUCCCAUGCGAUGGCCGGCGACGACCGCCGGAGCACCGACCUCAACAAGCACGCUGUGGACAAGCAAUCUCCUCAGCGACCCGCGGGCAGCAAGGCAGCAGGCGCUCCGUGCGUCGUCUACUUGAAGAAAGGCACGUGCGCGGAGGGGAGCAUCCGGCAUGACGCCCACGGCCAUGCGCCACACCUCGCUGCGAACCAUGCUCACUGAGCGUACCGUAUAGCAGCAGCAGCAGCAGAGACGAUACUACCGUACAAUACUACUACGUGCUACGUACUAUCUACGUAUUUCCGUUUCGUCAUGGCUUCCGCCGCCGCCGCCGCCGCUGCUAGUAUACUAAAAAGAAAGUUUGUAAUAAUGAACGACUGUCCAUGCGGUUCUUGUGAUUGCGGGGUACGGACUUCCGGGCUCCUCAAGUUCGCCGUCCGCCCCACGUAGAUUCCUGCCAGCUCCUCAAGACGGCGAGGUUAUGGUUUCCUACUCAUGCGUACGCGCAGACGAGAUUACUUGGUGUCAGAUUCAAGGCUUCAUCGACGACUGUGGCUCCUUCAGAGGCCUUGCUGUAAUGCUUAUCGUACUUGGGGUGCUUUGUACUUCUGAUGAACCUUUUAAUAAAGAUGUUUUUAAAAUAAAAUAAAAUAAAUAAAUUCAUUUUUGGGAUGUA